AGUAUGCCUUCCUGCACCAGUGUGUGCGGGACGUCCUGAGAGCGAGGAAGCACCGCAGCGAGCAGGAGAACCCGCUGUACCCCAUCUACGAGAACUUCAACCCCGAGUACUGCCGCGACUUCAUCUACACCGGACGCUGAGCAGACGAUCCACAGAGAAGCAUCGAUUAGUCAAAAGGAUACAUUUCAAAUGUGUCGUGCAAAAUGUCUUUAAAAGCUGUUUGUUUCGGGACUCAAAUAUAGGGUUUGUUGCUUUUCUCUGUUUAAUAUCAUACUAAAGUGAACAUUUUAGGGUAUUUUUCACUAUUUUUGAUAUUUUAAAGACAAAAUCAACCUUAAAAAUGUAUAAAAGUAAGCAACUAAAGACGACCAAUUAUCCCUUAUUUUUUUUAUGGAUUAAAAGCAAAUCGAUGUUCCUGGUGUAUCACAGCUGUGACAUGAAGUCAUUACUCGUGGAUAAGUGUUACCCGUUUCAUU